AGUUUACUGUCACAAUUAAUGAUUUGCUGAGUCGUCUACGUUCAGUUCAACAAAGAGAUGCCAGCUGUGAUUACAGUUUGGGAAGUGAACCCAACUCUUUGUCUCCUCGUAGUGAUGCAUACAGCUUGACUGAUAUUGUGGAGAAAGAGACACACGAGACGGAGAGACCAACGACAUUUCCUGUGACCACAGGUCUGACUGUUACCAGGCUCCAUACUUCAACUCAAGCAACUUCUGUAACAACAGGGCGGACUGUCGGUACCACAAGUAACACUGGUAGCUUUAUCUCUACAAUCCAAACAUCAGUGAAACCAGAAACAGAUGAAAUAAAGUUCUCAAUAAUAAACACUGACUUUUCAGUAAAAUGUUGGAACAUUUGUUAUUUUAAU